rnacentral:tRNA from 1 species
CCUGAUAGCUCAGUUGGUAAAGAAUCUGCCUACAAUGCAGGAGACCCAGGUUUGAUUCCUGGGUCAGGA